rnacentral:tRNA from 1 species
GAGGAUAUAGCUCAGUGGUAGAGUGCACGCUUAGCAUGCAUAAGGUCCUGGGCUCAAUCCCCAGUACCUUCA